rnacentral:rRNA from 1 species
CUGACUUGCCUACUGACUAGCCAGUCGAACGGUAACAGGAAGCAGCUUGCUGCUUGCUGACGAGUGGCGGACGGGUGAGUAAUGUCUGGGAAACUGCCUGAUGGAGGGGGAUAACUACUGGAAACGGUAGCUAAUACCGCAUAACGUCGCAAGACCAAAGAGGGGGACCUUCGGGCCUCUUGCCAUCAGAUGUGCCCAGAUGGGAUUAGCUAGUAGGUGGGGUAACGGCUCACCUAGGCGACGAUCCCUAGCUGGUCUGAGAGGAUGACCAGCCACACUGGAACUGAGACACGGUCCAGACUCCUACGGGAGGCAGCAGUGGGGAAUAUUGCACAAUGGGCGCAAGCCUGAUGCAGCCAUGCCGCGUGUAUGAAGAAGGCCUUCGGGUUGUAAAGUACUUUCAGCGGGGAGGAAGGCGAUGGGUUAAUAACCGCGUCGAUUGACGUUACCCGCAGAAGAAGCACCGGCUAACUCCGUGCCAGCAGCCGCGGUAAUACGGAGGGUGCAAGCGUUAAUCGGAAUUACUGGGCGUAAAGCGCACGCAGGCGGUCUGUCAAGUCGGAUGUGAAAUCCCCG